rnacentral:lncRNA from 1 species
UUUUUCCUUAUGUUUUACGUAAUAAUUGGUGUUUUCAACCUUACGGUUUAUACGGGUAUUAUACUACUAUAUUAUCAAGGAAGGAAGAAGGUAUGAGCUUGGAGGCAUGAAAGAAGAAUAAUUGCAAUCAAAUUGUAACGGAAUGACAUUCUCUUUUAUGCAGCCACUCUAACUUGAUUUCUUCCUUGUGUAUGUAUUUAUAUACAUAUUUUCUCCCUAUUUUCGAGUAUUUUACAUUUAGCAAGUUAUUUUAAAUUUCCAGGAUGAAAUUUUUUUAAGGGGGGUAGAUUGUAACGACCUGUCCCCAAAAAUUAUAGUCUUUAUAAUUUUUAAUAUGAAUUUAUAGAAAUGCCCUUCAAGGUCAAGACGUUGACUUUGUUGACCAUCUUGUCAUGUCAUGUAAGGUUCGUUAUCCUCAUAGUACUCAUCGCUGCGAACGCGUGGGCGCAAAUGGAAUGUAAUUUGAAGUUAUAACGAAUGAGUUAUUAACAAAUGAAGUCGAGGGCAAAAUUGUAAAUUUAUUAUUUUCUAGAAUGCUCUAGGUUUUCGGAGCAAAAUCUAGAAAGCCACGUGUGUGGCCCAGAUAAUUGGGAGAAGAGAGAAAAGUAAGUGACCAAUGGGAAGAGAGACCAGGAAGGAAAUGAGGGAAAAGGAGAUGGAGGGAAUCGGUCAGGUUCCCCUUGACCCGCGUGAUGACCCGACUUCCAUCACCACCAAACCUCACCACAACACCCCAUCACCUAAUUCUAACCAAACCUGACGAAUUUUUGCCCCAAUGUGGUAAGAAAACCCACUGAGGGGUCCGGGUGGGUCUCAGCCUUGAAUCACCAUUAUGAAACGAUUUCUAUUGAUCUCUACCACCAUUAGACUCUCCUUGAACCCAAGAACAAACCCCAGCCAACCAUAGAGGUGGCGGAGCACCGGAGGAGUCGAAUCAAUGCACACCCAAAUCUAGGGUUCCGAUGGGUUUGGAUGAAAUUGAGGCUUUUCCUGACCAAAUUGGUCUUAGUCAUAGGUAUGAAAGUUAUUACUCUCAUCGAGAUCUUCAUUCCUGUAAAAUUUGGGAAUUUUUGGAGUUGUUGGAUUUUCUGGCGAGUCGGGGCGACCAAUCGCCACAUGCAGCAGCGGAUACGGUGGCGCGUGGGGUAAAAACCCGAGGUCCUUCCUUAGGUUCCUCGACAUACCGGACCUGAAUCCACCCUUGUUUUUUGAAAU